AGGAUAUUAUUUGGAUUAUGUUGAUGGAAAGUUGUUAAGUAAAAUAAUUUUAGUGAAUAAGUUUUAGUAUAGUUUAUGGAAAUUAUAGCAUGAAUAAUAGAGGAUUAGUACUGUGAAGGAAAUAUGAAAUAGGUGAAAUAGUUAUUAGGAUGAAAGAAGAAUGUAAUUUGUACCUUGGGUAUCAGGGUUUAUUAAUUAGUAGUAAUGAUUUAUAGUUCUCGAAUUAAGAAGAGUGAAGAAUGGUGUGAUAGUUAAUGUGUUAUUAUUAUUGUAAACAUCUUUUUAGGAAUGAAAUGUUAGUCGUUUCUUAGGUUAUCUGGUUUUUCAAGAAAUGAAUUUAAUUCAUAUUGUUGAGAGUAAAUGUUUGAUUUGGUCAAUAAUUUGUUUUUUGAUAAUAAAUAUAUGAAGGGAUAAGCUUUUAUGUAGAAAUUAUAAACUGUGGAUUUUAAAAAGAGUGGUAGGCUUUAAAUUAGCUAUCAAUAAAAUAAUGUUAUAAGUUGUUUUGUGAAUAAAUUAUUUUUUUGUAGUUUUGGUUUGUGUAUUGAAAUAUUAUAUUUAAUGAUUUAAUAUAAGUGAUGAUGAUGAAAUGAGUAUAUUAAUAAUUGUUUACUGUGGUAUUUUUUGAAAUUUAUAUUAAGGAAUUAGGCAAAUUAUCACUCGCCUGUUUAUCAAAAACAUCUCCUUUUGUGUUUAUAGAAGGUAGGGCCUGCCCACUGAAAAUUUUGAAGGGCCGCGGUAUUAUGACCGUGCAAAGGUAGCAUAAUCAUUAGUCUUUUAAUUGAAGGCUGGAAUGAAUGGUUUGACGAGGUGAUAACUGUCUCAGUAUAAUAGAUAGAAGUUAACUUUUGAGUUAAAAGGCUUAAAUUUUAAUGGAGGACGAGAAGACCCUAUAGAGCUUUAUAUAUAAGUUUAAAUUUGCAUUAGAGGUUUAUAAAAAUUUGGAUUGAUUAUAUUGUGUUGGGGUGACAUAAAGAUAGGAUUAACUCUUUAUUUUUAGGACAUUAAUGUAUGGAUUUUUGAUCCAUUUUUAGUGAUCAUAAGAUUAAGUUACCUUAGGGAUAACAGCGUAAUUUUUCUUGAGAGUUCAUAUCAACAGAGAAGAUUGCGACCUCGAUGUUGGAUUAAGGAAUAUAAUUAGAUGCAGCAGUUUAAUGAAUAGGUCUGUUCGACCUUUUUAUCCUUACAUGAUCUGAGUUCAGACCGGUGUAAGCCAGGUCGGUUUCUAUCCUUAUUGUUUUUUUUAUAUUUUAGUACGAAAGGACCAAGUAUUUUAAAUAUUUUAUUAUGUUUGAUUAUUAUUA
rnacentral:rRNA from 1 species